ACAGCCGUGGCCAAGUGGUUAAGGCGAUGGACCAGAAAUUCAUUGGAGUCUCCCCGCACAGGUUCAAACCCUGUCAACUGCG
rfam:Ixodes scapularis strain Wikel colony gcontig_1108379632392, whole genome shotgun sequence.